GUCCAACCCACCGCGCCACCGCGCCACCGCGCCUCCCUAGAAAAAUCACAUGCUUAGGAAAUUAAGAUAGCUUAUAUUAGCAUGAUUAAAAGACUCCGCCUUUGCCCUUUGCGCUCUUUCACUUCAGCGAUGAAGCCCAGAAAACUGCUGCUCAGGUUGGAGCGAAUUCAGCAGAAGUAGCGGUCGCGUUAAUGCGGACACGCGGCCAAAAAUAAAGUCACUAGACAAACGUUGCCAUGGAAACCCGGAGCUCCUCCACUCAUGUGCGGGACUGUCGAAGCGCCCACGGGAUAGCAUGUCACCGCACGGCACGGGGCUGCGCGCCCUGCUCCUCCUCGGCUUCCACGUGCUUUUGUCCGCGCGCAGUGUUGCAGCCUCAUGUGAUGUUACGAAGAAUGAAGAAUUUAGUCAGUGUUUCGGAGCUCUGGGACAACCUGUGUUCAUAGACCUCAUUAAUGACACCACCGGUUAUGAGAUCAGCUUAAAAAAUUCUCAGAAUGAACGGAUUUUCAAUUUUAAGUACGGAAGUACCACAUAUUAUGCGUGUUGUUUAGUGUUUUUUAACAAUGGCACCUUGAGGAUGGACAAAGGUAAGAAAAAUUACUCCAGCAAAUACAACUUGGAGAUACAUGAUUUAGAUGGAACAUUCUUACAAAGCAGGAAGAUUCAGCUCGCCAUUGAAAAACCUGUGUCCUCACCAGUGUUGUCCACACUAUGUUUAUCCCAUGGAAAGCUGAAGGUGUCCUGCUCCACUGAGGGGGACAAUCCCCAGUACACCUGGAGUCUGGGGGACGGGCCCCUUGAGGGGUACGAUGGGAAAGGUGCUGUUGUACUGGGGAUGGAUGUGAGUGGAGAUGUGACCUGUACUGUGUGGAAUAAUGUCAGCAGAGAAAGCAGCACCUUGAGACUCCCCACCUGUACAGGUAGAAUUUGUAUAUAGAAACUUUUAAUGUACUUUAUAUGCGUUGUUGUUAGAUGCACCUAGUGCUUUCCGGGAUUGGCUCCAGACCAGCAUAACCUUGUACUAUAUAAGCUCUUUUUUUAAAAAUGAAAGGGGUGACUGAAAGCUACCACCAUUUUGAAUAAUAAUAAUAAUAAUAAUAAUAAUAAUAUCUGACAAAGUGUGAUCUCUGGUUCUGUAAUAAUCACCCAUUUGUUUUAACUUAAAGAAACUGGAGCCUCUAUGAAUUGCACCUUAGUUAAUGGUGUAAUGACAAACAGCACGAAAGGUAUGUGCCUUCUGCAUACAGAAUCAGUUAAAAGUAUUCAUACUGUAAUAUUGUUCUCCAGUGUUUAUAAUAAUUUGUAAUUCUGUUUGUCUUCUAGAUUCCUGUGGAUUAGUUUCGGUUGCAGUGGGAGCAACCUUUGCCCUGUCAGUCUUGUUAAUAAUAAUGUACUACCACUAUAAGAAAAAAGCACAAUCAUAAGUGAUAAUGUCAUGCUGAUAAGUGCACAUAAAUUGUUCAAUACUCCUUGUUCUCAUCUCAGUGUUUCCAGUUCUAUAGAGAAUAUCGCCUUUGCUGUACAAACUCCUGGUUUUCUUUGGUAAUUUUCAACAUGAGCCGCACUCUUUGACUGUUUGAACGAGUUUUGGAAUUUUGUGUAACGGUGCCUUUUGAAAUUUUGUUCACAUAGUGCUUGUUAUGUGGUGUCAUUAUACCGUAAGUUCUUUUUCACUAUUGUUGCGAAGAAGUGUUUACGUUCUUGGAGACCCUUAUACAGAAUGUGUUAUGUAUCAUGUCAAAUAAAGGCUUUAAUAAAAGAUACA
rnacentral:lncRNA from 1 species